rnacentral:rRNA from 1 species
UACGGGGGGAGCAAGCGUUGUUCGGAUUUACUGGGCGUAAAGGGCGCGUAGGCGGACCUGCAAGUCGGGGGUGAAAGCCCGAGGCUCAACCUCGGAACUGCCUUCGAUACUGCGGGUCUCGAGUCCGGGAGAGGUGAGUGGAAUUCCUAGUGUAGAGGUGAAAUUCGUAGAUAUUAGGAAGAACACCAGUGGCGAAGGCGGCUCACUGGCCCGGUACUGACGCUGAGGCGCGAAAGCGUGGGGAGCAAACAGG